UCUCCAAAUACUAUGACGGAAUUCACUUCCAACCAUUGGUUUCGGGGAACGUAAAAGACCAUUUAGAGGCAGUGAGGAACAUGAAAUACAGGAAAGGCGACGUGCUUCUUGAUUCAUUCCCUAAAACUGGAACACACUGGACCUAUGACAUUCUGUAUAUGUUGAAAAAUGAAAAAGCAGAAUAUAGUACCGGCCAUAUUGUGAGUCUCGACUAUGAAACAGUUGAAAAAAAACGAUGCCUUAGACAGCCCAAGAGUUCUGGUGUCUCAUUUCUAUCCGCAACAUAUUCCAAAAUUUGUUGAAGACGAGAAAUGUAAAAUCGUCUAUGUCUACCGGAACCCAAAAGAUACGGCAGUAUCUAUGCACUCCUUCAUGAAACGACUAAACGUCGAGGGAAUGAAAGGUUAUAAAGGCACAUGGGAACAUUUCUUUGAAUUAUUCACCACAAAACCAGGGCACUAUAAUACUUGGUUCGAACACGUGAAGUCGUGGUUGGACUUCAA